GACAGCAUAAUGGCAGGGAAAGCGUCGGACAGCUCCAUAAAAUGGCAGCUAUGUUAUGACAUGUCAGCCAGGACUUGGUGGAUGGCUUGGUGCCAAACCCAUUCAAGUCAAGAGGAGGAGUACCAUUAAGUACAAUGGAUUUUGGAUCAGACUCGUACAGAAUACAUUUAUAUUUUAUAUCUGUAUAAUAUGCAAGAUACUCCUGAUUUAUCAGUAUUUUACAGCCUCCAUAAAGGGAGAUACUGGCUUUUCAAAAUCUUGAAUAAAGCACCUUGGAAAAUGAGAAGACUUAAAGCAAGGAAGAAAAGGAACAAAAAGGAAACAAGGAAGAAAAGGAUUCUGUAACAUCCCAUCCUAAUUUAACUGGUGUGAUGUUAGUAACUGAAGAAAACAGUGAAAGGAGAGCAGAACAUGUGUGGGACAGAGAAAACUCCAGAUCCAGCAAUGGGUUUCUACAAAGGAGCUAUUCUUCCCUCCAUUCUGCACUGCUAGAGAAGCAGUUCAAGGAAGAACACAGCCCCCCACCAUUAGAGAUGUUCAAAGAGAAUAUCCCUGUGGUGUAUUGUUCUAGUAUGUAGAUUUGCAUUGGUUGUAGAUCAAGGUAUGAUCAAAUAAGUUAAAUGAGAUCAUACCUUGCAUUUUUGAGUGUCAGGGGUAACUUCAGGGGUAACUUUUACAGGGGUGUAGGUUGUAAUGUUGGUGUAAGGACAUAGGCAGACAA